rnacentral:rRNA from 1 species
CGGCGGACGGGUGAGUAACGCGUGGGUAACCUACCCCAAAGUCCGGGAUAACAGCGGGAAACCGCUGCUAAUACCGGAUGCCUUUACCUUGGGGCAUCUUGAGGUAAAGAAAGGCAACGCUUUGGGAUGGGCCCGCGUCCCAUUAGCUAGUUGGUGAGGUAACGGCUCACCAAGGCGACGAUGGGUAGCCGGCCUGAGAGGGUGGACGGCCACACUGGGACUGAGACACGGCCCAGACUCCUACGGGAGGCAGCAGUAGGGAAUAUUGCGCAAUGGACGGAAGUCUGACGCAGCGACGCCGCGUGAGCGAUGAAGGUCUUCGGAUCGUAAAGCUCUGUCCUUGGGGAAGAAGGCGAAAGCUUGACGGUACCCAAGAAGAAAGCCCCGGCUAACUACGUGCCAGCAGCCGCGGUAAUACGUAGGGGGCGAGCGUUGUCCGGAAUUACUGGGCGUA